rnacentral:rRNA from 1 species
ACUCGAAUUAAUACCGCAUACGACCUACGGGAGAAAGGGUUGCAACUUGUUGCUCUCGCUAUUAGAUGAGCCUAAGUCGGAUUAGCUAGAUGGUGGGGUAAAGGCCUACCAUGGCGACGAUCUGUAGCUGGUCUGAGAGGAUGAUCAGCCACACCGGGACUGAGACACGGCCCGGACUCCUACGGGAGGCAGCAGUGGGGAAUAUUGGACAAUGGGGGAAACCCUGAUCCAGCCAUGCCGCGUGUGUGAAGAAGGCCUUUUGGUUGUAAAGCACUUUAAGCAGUGAAGAAGACUCUUCGGUUAAUACCCGGAGACGAUGACAUUAGCUGCAGAAUAAGCACCGGCUAACUCUGUGCCAGCAGCCGCGGUAAUACAGAGGGUGCAAGCGUUAAUCGGAAUUACUGGGCGUAAAGCGAGCGUAGGUGGCUUGAUAAGUCAGAUGUGAAAUCCCCGGGCUUAACCUGGGAACUGCAUCUGAUACUGUCAGGCUAGAGUAGGUGAGAGGAAGGUAGAAUUCCAGGUGUAGCGGUGAAAUGCGUAGAGAUCUGGNANGNGAAUACCGAUGGNCGAAGGCAGCCUUCUGGCAUCAUACUGACACUGAGGCUCGAAAGCGUGGGUAGCAAACAGGAUUAGAUACCCUGGUAGUCCACGCCGUAAACGAUGUCAACUAGCCGUUGGGAGUCUUGAACUCUUAGUGGNCGCAGCUAACGCAUUAANGUUGACCGCCUGGGGNAGUACGGCCGCAANGGUUAAAACUCAAAUGAAUUGACGGGGGCCCNGCNACAAGCGGNUGGAGCAUGNUGGUUUNAAUUNCGAANGCAACGCGAAGAACCNUUANCCAGGNCCUUNGACAUCCAANUGAANCNUUUCUNNAGAGAUAGAUUGGUNGCCNUNUCGGGAACANNUUGNAGACANGGUGCNUGCAUNGGCUNGUCNGUCNAGCNUCGUGUCNGUGAGAUGUUGGGUUAANGUCCCNGUAACGANGCGCAACCCUUGUCCUUAGUUACNCAGCACGUAAUNGGUGGGCACUCUANANGGAGACUNGCCGGUGACANAACCNGGANGGAAGGUNGGGGAUGACGUCAAGUCAUCAUGGCCCUUACGACCAGGGCUACACACGUGCUACAAUGGUAGGUACAGAGGGCAGCUACACAGCGAUGUGAUGCGAAUCUCAAAAAGCCUAUCGUAGUCCAGAUUGGAGUCUGCAACUCGACUCCAUGAAGUAGGAAUCGCUAGUAAUCGCGGAUCAGAAUGCCGCGGUGAAUACGUUCCCGGGCCUUGUACACACCGCCCGUCACACCAUGGGAGUUGAUUGCACCAGAAGUGGAUAGCUUAACCUUCGGGGGGAGCGUUCACCACGGUGUGGUUGA